rnacentral:rRNA from 1 species
UACGGAGGAGGCGAGCGUUGUUCGGAAUCACUGGGCUUAAAGGGCGUGUAGGCGGGCUUGAAGGUGCUUCGUGAAAUCCCCCGGCUCAACCGGGGAAUGGCUUGGCAAACCACAAGUCUUGAGGCAGGUAGAGGCGGCUGGAACGUUCGGUGGAGAGGUGAAAUUCGUAGAUAUCGAACGGAACGCCGGUGGCGAAAGCGGGCCGCUGGGCCUGUCCUGACGCUGAGACGCGAAAGCGUAGGGAGCGAACGGG